rnacentral:lncRNA from 1 species
GCUUCUUAUCUUAUUAUCCCUCUCUCUCUCUCUCUCUCUCUCUAUAUAUAUAUAUAUAUAUAUUCAACCUCAUUGAAUUUAACAUGUUGUUUUAUCGUUUCAGAUUGCGGAGACAGCGGCGGAGCUGAAUUUGCCGUUGAUUGCAGACGAGAUAUACGGGCACAUGGUUUUUCGUGAGGCGAAAUUCGUUCCAAUGGCAUCCCUGUGCUCCAUCGUCCCAGUUCUGACACUUGGAGCUCUGUCGAAGAGGUGGUUAGUGCCAGGGUGGAGGUGCGGAUGGGUGGCGAUAAGUGACCGGAACGGUGCACUUAGUCAGGUGAGAAUGGCGAUGGAGAGGCUGAUGAAUGUUACGUCAGGACCUGCAUCGAUUAUACAAGCUGCACUGCCGGGAUUGUUAUCAGACUCCAACGACGAAUUCC